CUCAGGUCUCGGGUGACGGACCCUGGAAUUGGGCUCCCUCCUCUCUGGUUCUGUGUGCGCCACCUGAGAACAACA
rfam:Myotis davidii contig159874, whole genome shotgun sequence.